UGGGGAAUAUUGGACAAUGGGCGAAAGCCUGAUCCAGCCAUGCCGCGUGUGUGAAGAAGGUCUUCGGAUUGUAAAGCACUUUAAGUUGGGAGGAAGGGCAGUAAGCGAAUACCUUGCUGUUUUGACGUGACCGACAGAAUAAGCACCGGCUAACUCUGUGCCAGCAGCCGCGGUAAUACAGAGGGUGCAAGCGUUAAUCGGAAUUACUGGGCGUAAAGCGCGCGUAGGUGGUUCGUUAAGUUGAAUGUGAAAGCCCCGGGCUCAACCUGGGAACUGCAUCCCAAACUGGCGAGCUAGAGUAGGGCAGAGGGUGGUGGAAUUUCCUGUGUAGCGGUGAAAUGCGUAGAUAUAGGAAGGAACACCAGUGGCGAAGGCGACCACCUGGGCUCAUACUGACACUGAGGUGCGAAAGCGUGGGGAGCAAACAGG
rnacentral:rRNA from 1 species